CCCUUAGAUGUCCUGGGCCGCACGCGCGCUACACUGAUGCAUUCAACGAGUUUUACCUUGGCCGAGAGGCCUGGGCAAUCUUUUAAACCUGCAUCGUGAUAGGGAUAGAUUAUUGCAAUUAUUAAUCUUGAACGAGGAAUUCCUAGUAAACGCAGAUCAUCAAUCUGCAUUGAUUACGUCCCUGCCCUUUGUACACACCGCCCGUCGCACCUACUGAUUGAAUGGUCCGGUGAAGCCUCGGGAUUGUGGCCAGUUCACUUUAUUGGGAGUUGGCUGCGAGAACUUGUCUAAACCUUAUCAUUUAGAGGAAGGUGAAGUCGUAACA
rnacentral:rRNA from 1 species